rnacentral:rRNA from 1 species
UAUGGGCUUUGUAAUUGGAAUGAGUACAAUUUAAACCCCUUAAUGAGUAACAAUUGGAGGACAAGUCUGGUGCCAGCACCCGCGGUAAUUCCAGCUCCAAUAGCAUAUAUUAAAUUUGUUGCAGUUAAAAAGCUCGUAGUUGGAUUUCGGAACUUGGGAGUGAUCGGUCUGCCGGUUGGUUUGUACUGUUGCUCCCGUUCCCAUUUGAUGGAAACUUAUCUCUACUCUUAAUUGAGCGGAGAGUAGGUUCAGUGAGAACUAAUUUCUAUUGAAAUUUUUUCUCACUACUACUUUUGUAAGUUCCAUCUCAUUUACUUUGAAUAAAUUAGAGUGUUUAAAGCAGGCGAUUUUUUGCCAUUGAAUACAUCAGCAUGGGAUAAUAGAAUAGGACUCUGGUUCUAUUUUAUUGGUUUUUAGAACUGGAGUAAUGAUUAAUAGGGAUAGUUGGGGACAUUGGUAUUUAAUUGUCAGAGGUGAAAUUCUUGGAUUUAUGAAAGACUAACUUCUGCGAAAGCAUUUGUCAAGGAUGUUUUCAUUAAUCAAGAACGAAAGUUAGGGGCGCGAAGACGAUCAGAUACCGUCGUAGUCUUAACCAUAAACUAUGCCGACCAAGGAUUGAUGGACGUUAAUAUUUUAAAUGACCCCCUCAGCACUUUACGAGAAAUCAUAAGUCUUUGGGUUCCGGGGGGAGUAUGGUCCGCAAGGCUGAAACUUAAAGGAAUUGACGGAAGGGCACAACCAGGAGUGGAGCCUGCGGCUUAAUUUGACCCAACACGGGGAAACUUACCAGGUCCGGACAUAGGAAGGAUCGACAGAUUGAUAGCUCUUUCUUGAUUCUAUGGGUGGUGGUGCAUGGCCGUUCUUAGUUGGUGGAUUGAUUUGUCUGGUUAAUUCCGUUAACGAACGAGACCUUAACUUACUAAAUAGUUACGAAAAUAUUGCUAUUAAAGCUAUGCUUAGGUGGUGCCUGUAAAAGGGAGGAAGCUUAGGUGUAGCCGGUUUUAUUUAUCGUCUAACUUCUUAGAGGGACUAUUUGUGUCUAACAAAUGGAAGUUUGAGGCAAUAACAGGUCUGUGAUGCCCUUAGAUGUUCUGGGCCGCACGCGCGCUACACUGACAAAUUCAACAAGCUUUAAAAAUCCUUGGCCGGAAGGUCUGGGCAAUCUUGUGAAAAUUUGUCGUGCUGGGGAUAGAUUAUUGCAAUUAUUAAUCUUGAACGAGGAAUUCCUAGUAAGCGUGAUUCAUCAAAUCGCGUUGAUUACGUCCCUGCCCUUUGUACACACCGCCCGUCGCUCCUACCAAUUGAAUGGUCCGGUGAAAUGUUCGGAUCAGGGCAAACCUUGGGGCAACUCUCGAAAGUUCAGAGAAUUUCAUUAAAUCUUAUCAUUUAGAGGAAGGAGAAGUCGUAACAAGGUAUCCGUAGGUGAACCUGCGGAUG